UACCGUACUCUAGCUCAGUAGUUUUGGAUGCAGUUCCCAGGUUGAGCCCGGGGAUUUCACAUCCAACUUGCUGAACCACCUACGCGCGCUUUACGCCCAGUAAUUCCGAUUAACGCUUGCACCCUUCGUAUUACCGCGGCUGCUGGCACGAAGUUAGCCGGUGCUUAUUCUGUUGGUAACGUCAAAACAGCAAGGUAUUAACUUACUGCCCUUCCUCCCAACUUAAAGUGCUUUACAAUCCGAAGACCUUCUUCACACACGCGGCAUGGCUGGAUCAGGCUUUCGCCCAUUGUCCAAUAUUCCCCACUGCUGCCUCCCGUAGGAGUCUGGACCGUGUCUCAGUUCCAGUGUGACUGAUCAUCCUCUCAGACCAGUUACGGAUCGUCGCCUUGGUAGGCCUUUACCCCACCAACUAGCUAAUCCGACCUAGGCUCAUCUGAUAGCGUGAGGUCCGAAGAUCCCCCACUUUCUCCCUCAGGACGUAUGCGGUAUUAGCGCCCGUUUCCGGACGUUAUCCCCC
rnacentral:rRNA from 1 species